rnacentral:sRNA from 1 species
UAAUUUUGUUUGAAACCGAAGACAGUGGGUGCUUUAAGCUUAAUAUCCUACCGAGGAGAAAUAAGAAUACUUAAACUCUUUGCUGUCGAAUUCGGUGAAGAGUUUUAAAAU